UACGUAGGGACCGAGCGUUGUCCGGAAUCAUUGGGCGUAAAGAGCGUGUAGGCGGCCACUUAAGUCCUGCGUGAAAUCUUGCGGCUCAACCGCAAGCGGUCGUGGGAAACUGGGUGGCUAGAGUGCGGGAGAGGAGAGUGGAAUUCCCAGUGUAGAGGUGAAAUUCGUAGAUAUUGGGAAGAACACCAAUGGCGAAGGCAGCUCUCUGGACCGUUACUGACGCUGAGGCGCGAAAGCGUGGGGAGCAAACAGG
rnacentral:rRNA from 1 species